rnacentral:rRNA from 1 species
UACGGAAGGCAGCAGUGGGGAAUAUUGCACAAUGGGCGCAAGCCUGAUGCAGCCAUGCCGCGUGUAUGAAGAAGGCCUUCGGGUUGUAAAGUACUUUCAGUCGUGAGGAAGGUGUUAAGGUUAAUAACCUUAGCAAUUGACGUUAGCGACAGAAGAAGCACCGGCUAACUCCGUGCCAGCAGCCGCGGUAAUACGGAGGGUGCGAGCGUUAAUCGGAAUUACUGGGCGUAAAGGGCACGCAGGCGGUUAAUUAAGUUGGAUGUGAAAUCCCCGGGCUUAACCUGGGAAUGGCAUUCAAGACUGGUUAGCUAGAGUCUUGUAGAGGGGGUAGAAUUCCAUGUGUAGCGGUGAAAUGCGUAGAGAUGUGGAGGAAUACCGGUGGCGAAAGGCGGCCCCUGGACAAAGACUGACGCUCAUGUGCGAAAGCUGGGGAGCAAACAGGGAUUAGAUACC